AACGCUAGCUACAGGCUUAACACAUGCAAGUCGAGGGGCAUCAGGAAGAAAGCUUGCUUUCUUUGCUGGCGACCGGCGCACGGGUGAGUAACACGUAUCCAACCUGCCCUUUACUCGGGGAUAGCCUUUCGAAAGAAAGAUUAAUACCCGAUAGCAUAAUGAUUCCGCAUGGUUUCAUUAUUAAAGGAUUCCGGUAAAGGAUGGGGAUGCGUUCCAUUAGGUUGUUGGUGAGGUAACGGCUCACCAAGCCUUCGAUGGAUAGGGGUUCUGAGAGGAAGGUCCCCCACAUUGGAACUGAGACACGGUCCAAACUCCUACGGGAGGCAGCAGUGAGGAAUAUUGGUCAAUGGGCGUUAGCCUGAACCAGCCAAGUAGCGUGAAGGAUGAAGGCUCUAUGGGUCGUAAACUUCUUUUAUAUAAGAAUAAAGUGCAGUAUGUAUACUGUUUUGUAUGUAUUAUAUGAAUAAGGAUCGGCUAACUCCGUGCCAGCAGCCGCGGUAAUACGGAGGAUCCGAGCGUUAUCCGGAUUUAUUGGGUUUAAAGGGAGCGUAGGUGGACUGGUAAGUCAGUUGUGAAAGUUUGCGGCUCAACCGUAAAAUUGCAGUUGAUACUGUCAGUCUUGAGUACAGUAGAGGUGGGCGGAAUUCGUGGUGUAGCGGUGAAAUGCUUAGAUAUCACGAAGAACUCCGAUUG
rnacentral:rRNA from 1 species